rfam:Tuber melanosporum whole genome shotgun sequence assembly, scaffold_357, strain Mel28
AAGAGUAUAAUUUAAUAGGUAAAAUAUGAAGCUCCAACCUUUAACUUUCUGGUUCAAGUCCGGAUACUCUUG